rnacentral:pre_miRNA from 1 species
AUUACCCGGGGAUCCUGUUAAAAUGCAGAUUCUAAUUGGGCAGGUCUGAGUUGGGGCCGAGAUUCUGAAUUUCUAACAAGAUUCCAAGUGAUGCUGC